UGGAAGCCUCGGGUAUCUGCGGACCAUCACUACUCAGAAGCUAAUACAUCAGUCAACAUGACGAACUCAGCUAACUACUCCACCUCUGUCGCGGAGCCCCCAGCUCCCCUGCCUCCUCUCCAGCACCAGCUUCGGCACCAGUACCAACUCGGACACCGACCCUGUCAACAUCAACCUCCAGCACGUAACAGCAACGUCUUAUCACCGGCAAGAAGAAAAGGGGCAACAGAAAAUUGGACCUUCCAAGCAUACUUGUGGAGAUGCAGGCUGAGGAGGAGUGGAGUCAUGCCCAGCAUGAUGAGAACAUCCAGUUGCUCCUCAGCGAGGCAAGAGAGAAUGAAGCGGCCUUGCGGUGCAGGAGAUGGCCCAGAAUGCUGCCUUCAACCAGUCAUUCCUGGGUGUGCUGGGGCAGCUGGUGCAGGCAGUGGGCAGCCAGCGAGUCCACCUCCCAGAGACUUGAGAUUUAGUUGUAUAUAGUUUUACUUUUAGCCCUCCACUGUAGGAGAGGCCCACCACAGUUUGUAUUUUGCACAUUGUAAAUAGUUUUGAUUUUGCUGCUGACUAAUUAACUAUUUUGUGACUUAUGUGACUGCAUCAUAACUUUUCAUUUUGUCUGUUAAGACACUGGUAGGAAAAGAGUCAACAGUCUCAACCAAACAAUUCUGUAUUCCCUGAUAAUGCAUUUAUGUUUAAUGGGAUUUAACAUGUUUUAACACAAACUCCUUAAUGGUUCAUAAUUCCGUUGACUGAAUUACACCAAAGUAAUACUGAUUUAUCAAACUGGAAUAUUCUUAAAACAGCUGUUUUAAUGUUUUGGUGUUUAAUUUGUCAUGUAAUCUUGCUAACCUUCACAAAUAAAACAC
ensembl:lncRNA